rnacentral:rRNA from 1 species
UAAUGCCUAUGAAUCUGCCUGGUAUUGGGGGACAACGUUUCGAAAGGAACGCUAAUACCGCAUACGUCCUACGGGAGAAAGCAGGGGACCUUCGGGCCUUGCGCUAUCAGAUGAGCCUAGGUCGGAUUAACUAGUUGGUGAGGUAAAGGCUCACCAAGGCGACGAUCCGUAACUGGUCUGAGAGGAUGAUCAGUCACACUGGAACUGAGACACGGUCCAGACUCCUACGGGAGGCAGCAGUGGGGAAUAUUGGACAAUGGGCGAAAGCCUGAUCCAGCCAUGCCGCGUGUGUGAAGAAGGUCUUCGGAUUGUAAAGCACUUUAAGUUGGGAGGAAGGGCAGUAAGUUAAUACCUUGCUGUUUUGACGUUACCGACAGAAUAAGCACCGGCUAACUUCGUGCCAGCAGCCGCGGUAAUACGAAGGGUGCAAGCGUUAAUCGGAAUUACUGGGCGUAAAGCGCGCGUAUGUGGUUCGUUAAGUUGGAUGUGAAAGCCCCGGGCUCAACCUGGGAACUGCAUCCAAAACUGGCGAGCUAGAGUAUGGCACAGGGUGGUGGAAUUUCCUGUGUAGCGGUGAAAUGCGUACAUAUAGGAAGGAACACCAGUGGCGAAGGCGACCACCUGGACUAAUACUGACACUGAGGUGCGAAAGCGUGA